AGAAAAUGAAAGUAAGCUUGGUUGCUAAGGGGAGAUUGGCCGAUUGGUUGCCAGGGGGAGAUUCCACACAUCGCUCCCUGUGUUUUAGUCAGGAAAGCUCGAAUAAUAAUACAGUCCACAUUCAAGGUUGAUUCUCUGGCUUUCCCGGUGUCCUGAAUGGCAGUUCUUUCUAGCUAUAUAGGAAAGCUGGAUUAAUAAUACCGUCCACAUUCAAGAUUGAUUCCCCACCUUUCCCGGUGUCCUGAACGGCAGUUCUUCUUAGCUCUAUAGGAAAGUUGGAUUAAUAAUACCGUCCACAUUCAAGGUUGAUUCCCUGGCUUUCCCGGUGUCCUGAAUGGCAGUUCUUCCUAGCUAUAUAGGAAAGUUGGAUUAAUAAUACCGUCCACAUUCAAGAUUGAUUCCCUGGCUUUCCCGGUGUUCUGAAUGGCAGUUCUUCCUAGCUCUAUAGGAAAGUUGGAUUAAUAAUACUGUCCACAUUCAAGGUUGAUUCCCUGGCUUUCCCGGUGUCCUGAACGGCAGUUCUUUCUAGCUAUAUAGGAAAGUUGGAUUAAUAAUACCGUCCACAUUCAAGAUUGAUUCCCCACCUUUCCCGGUGUCCUGAACGGCAGUUCUUCCUAGCUCUAUAGG